UCCGAUAUGGUCUAGUGGCUAGGAUUUGCCGCUCUCAUUGGCAGAGUUUACUCACUGCUGUAGUGCCGGCAAGGCCCGGGUUCAAUUCCCGGUGUCGGAA